rnacentral:rRNA from 1 species
AACCAACGAGUAUCACCGCACCGAAGCAGUGUAGGCAGCCACACUCGCUCUCCUCUCCUCUCCUCUCUGCCUUCCACCUCGCGUCGCCAAUUGAAAAGCCUACGGCCCCGGAGCGAGUCGCUCCGAGCUCCGCAGCCUUUACUGCCCAAUUAAAACCCUUGGCUUCCAAAACUUUUAAGAUGCGCUAGUGGCUACUCCUCCCCGAAUCGGCCGUACCGAUUCCUAAGCAUUUCAUUCCAGUGCGUGGGCGCACUGGGUGGGUCGUAGUAACUGAGACGGCGGCAGGCACGCGAAAGAGCGCCUCCUCCUUCCCGGCUCUCACGUGAUUCAUACCCGCGCCCUCCCCUCGUCCGGGCCGGGCCCCCCUCCCCGCCUGCCCCGCCGUCUAGCUAUAUAUCCAAAUCGCCGAGCCUCCACCCCCUCCAUCUCCCUUUCUCGCGAGCUCGUCCGUUUGCCUGCUACCCAUCUUUGCACUGCUUACAGUCAGAGAGUGAGUGAGUGAGCGAGCUCGAUCGGUCGGUCAUGGUUGAGGCAGUGGCGGAGGAGGAGCCGGUGGUGCGGGAGUACGACGACGUCCGCGACCGCGCCGGCGUGGAGGAGGUGGAGCGGGAGUGCGAGGUGGGGUCCAGCGGCGGCGGCGGCGAGAUGUGCCUCUUCACGGACCUCCUCGGCGACCCGCUCUGCCGCAUUCGCAACUCGCCGGACUUCCUCAUGCUGGUCGCGGAGACAGCAACCGGCAGCGCCGCCGGCGGCGGCGCGGAGAUAAUCGGCCUCGUCCGCGGCUGCGUGAAGUCCGUCGUCUCCGGCGGCUCCCACGCCAAGGACAAGGACCCCAUCUACACCAAGGUCGCCUACAUCCUCGGCCUCCGCGUCUCACCCAACCAUCGGAGGAAAGGGGUGGGGAGGAAGCUCGUGGAGAGGAUGGAGCAAUGGUUCCGGCAGAAGGGCGCGGAGUACUCGUACAUGGCGACGGAGCAGGACAACGAGGCGUCCGUGCGCCUCUUCACCUCCCGCUGCGGCUACUCCAAGUUCCGCACGCCGUCGUUGCUCGUCCACCCGGUGUUCCGCCACGCCCUCAAGCCCUCGCGCCGCGCCUCCAUCGUGCGCCUCGAGCCCCGCGACGCCGAGCGCCUCUACCGCUGGCACUUUGCCGCCGUCGAGUUCUUCCCCGCCGACAUCGACGCCGUGCUGUCCAACGCCCUGUCGCUCGGCACGUUCCUGGCGCUCCCGGCGGGCACAAGUUGGCACGGGGACGUUGAGGCAUUUCUCGCCGCGCCGCCGGCUUCGUGGGCGGUGCUGAGCGUGUGGAACUGCAUGGACGCCUUCCGUCUCGAGGUGCGCGGCGCACCCCGUCUGAUGCGCGCCGCGGCCGGCGCAACGCGGCUGGUGGACCGAGCGGCGCCGUGGCUCCGGAUACCCUCCAUCCCGAACCUCUUCGCGCCGUUCGGGCUCUACUUCCUCUACGGCCUGGGCGGCGCCGGGCCGGGAGCGCCGCGGCUGGUGCGCGCGCUGUGCCGGCACGCGCACAACAUGGCCCGACGCGGCGGAUGCGGCGUGGUGGCCACCGAGGUCGCCGCCCUCGAGCCCGUGCGCGCCGGGGUGCCGCACUGGGCGCGUCUCGGCGCCGAGGACCUCUGGUGCAUCAAGCGGCUCGCCGACGGCUACAACCACGGGCUGCUCGGCGACUGGACCAAGGCGGCGCCCGGGCGCUCCAUCUUCGUCGACCCCAGAGAGUUUUAGCUUCAUUUUCAGAUUUUCUGAAUUAGAUCAUGUAGGCUUUUUUUUUCUCCUCCGUCUGAUCCGGCCUGCUCCUUCCAGAGCACUGUGCCAUGCCAGUGCUCCCUCCCGAACCUUCUGAGUUCCAAGGACGCGGUACAUCACAUUUUUCCGUACGUACGUAGGAGUGCUCUCUGUUUCAACUUGUGCGGUUACAGCUCUCUGCAGGUCGAGAGAACUUGAGCUGCUGCUUUAACAGCAAAUUUUUUUUUUGUCGACAGAGCUGAGUAGCAGACCAGAGUGAAAACCUGGCGGCCUUUUUGGUGCCUUUGGGCCGCUUUUUUUUGCUUUCCGUGGCUUCGGCCCGCUUCGUAGAUUUGCUGCUUUUUUGCGCUCUGCCUCUGCGUUGACGCAUCCCCUUCCCCGUCUAUGUCAGAUCCUGCUUUUGUUGGCUCGACGAUGAGCCCGGACUUGUAAAUGGAUGCCGCUGCGUGGUUUACGUGUAACCCGCAGGCUUGGCUUCACCGGCGGCCCCCCCGUUGGAGGUCGACCGUGGGGAUUCACACCACAGAUC